GAUGAACGCUGGCGGCGUGCCUAAUACAUGCAAGUCGAGCGAACAGACGAGGAGCUUGCUCCUCUGACGUUAGCGGCGGACGGGUGAGUAACACGUGGAUAACCUACCUAUAAGACUGGGAUAACUUCGGGAAACCGGAGCUAAUACCGGAUAAUAUAUUGAACCGCAUGGUUCAAUAGUGAAAGACGGUUUUGCUGUCACUUAUAGAUGGAUCCGCGCCGCAUUAGCUAGUUGGUAAGGUAACGGCUUACCAAGGCAACGAUGCGUAGCCGACCUGAGAGGGGGAAGGGCACACGGGAAACUGAAAACGGGCCCAACCCCCAAGGGGGGGACAGGGGGGGAACUUUUCCGAAAGGGGGGAAACCGUGCCGGGGAACCCCGGGGGGAGGGAGAAGGGUUUGCGGACCGAAAAACUCUGUUAUUGGGGAAAAAAAAAUGUGUAAGUAACGAUGCACGUUUUGAGGGUACUAAAGAAGAAAGCCCGGGCAAAUUACGG
rnacentral:rRNA from 1 species